AGAAAACGAAGUUAUCCUGAAGAGGAGAGGUGAAGAUUGAAGCUAUGGAUGAUGAUGACACUGCCUCUAGUUGGACAGAUGUUGAAACCAGGGUGAGAAAUUCACUAUACAUGUCAUGCUAGAAUGCUUGCCCGGUGUUUAACAAUAACAUCUUAAAACUGUGUUUUAGUGCGCUUUUGGUAUUGAAGGUCGACCUGGCCAAAUUGAUCCCAGCCUUCAUCACACAGCAAAGUAAGUGAUGGAUCUUAAUAAAGCAUUAAAUAUUUCUGAUAGGCAGCCGUCUGUGAGCUUGUGGCCCACAUUCUACUCAAGGCUGGCAUUUGGUGGAAAUAUUUAGUGGGGGAUAGUGGAGUAGUCGCGACGACGUGAUGUAUGCAUGUACAGUAGUGUGCAUAUGUAUCAGUGUAUUAAUGAAUUAUGACUGUACAACUCAUCUAAUUUUACCCUAUACAUUACAAUUACUACAAAGUUUCUUUCGAAACAUUGCACUUAAAGGGUACUUGACACAGAGAUGAAUGGCUAUCACUGUUUCAAUUUUACAGAAAAACUUUCUUACGAAGUGUGGACCCUAAGCAACCAAAAAAUGUCAAAUUUUCAAUUUGAUCUAUCAUUGAAACUUUCUCAAGCGGAGGUGCAAAACGAUCUCAGGAGCGUGCCCCAGCUCCCCACACCUCCCCUCAAAAUAUGGCCAUGACUCUACUUUGCCGACACUUUCUUUACAUAACAUACUAGUAAUUAAGGGAUGAAAAAUAAAAGGAAUGGCUUUUAAUUGAGGUAAAAGUACAGUAUAUAAUACGAUCGAUUUCCUUUUUUUUUUCAGACGACGAAAGUCAAGCGAGUGAUUCAGACGUGUAAUUGGUAAUAUUAGAAACCGUCGAACUAAGUAAGGAUUGUAUGGAAAAUAUGCCAAGUACUAGUUUAGACAAAUUAUUAUGUCCUAUAUAUUUCAUGUAAAUAGUUAGAAGAAUUCACAUUAAUUAAUCAUAUGUUAGCGAGAUAAUAUCGGGGAUUUAUGGAUUAACCUAAUUAUAAUUUUAUCCUAUAACACGAAGUACAAGCUGUCUUCAUCGUUCCAAAUGUAAGUAGGAAAGGUGGAAUUUUUAUUUAUUCGUAUAAUAUAUUUGUGAAGCUGGCAUAAUUUCUUCUUGUGUUUCCCAAUGGAAGGAACUUAGCCGUGGCUAUAGAGCAUGAGAGCAUCUUUCCUUGAUUGGGAUAUUGGUUUUAGAGCCCCUUAAUUCCUGCUGUUGAUGACAUCAUAUAAACAGAUCUUUCAUAUUCACUGACAAAACUGUAUGAUUUCGUAAAUGUGUCACUGUUACAAGACAACGGGCUCUUAACCCAAUAUCACGAAAGCGAGGCUCUUUAGCCAAGACUGAGACUUUCCGGAAGAGUCUAUUUUAUACUAGAAAUAAAAUCUUCAUUCCAUCGUCUUGAGAGUACAAUUUUCUAUUCUUUAGGGCAGCUAGACUUGACUGAGUCUGAGUUCUCAAGCUAUUUUUGUGAUAUAAAUUAAUGAGAACACAAAUUAAA